CCAGGAGGAGGAGAAGAAGAAAGAGUAUGGUUCUUACGGUGGUCUCUAAUUCGCUUGGUGCAGGUCGGGAACCGACUUCGCCGCUCCGGCAGCGCCGGAGGCACGCGGCGGCCUACGAUUGGUUGCUGAGCGAAUUCUGAUCCCGCCUUGCAUCAACUGAAUCGGAGACGGCGGUGAUGUGAUGAUGAAAGACUACUUCGAUCUCAGGUUUCUAGGUUGGAAAAAUUGUUGGCGUAGCUUUUUUUCUGGAAUUUGAUUGGCUGGGAGGAAAGUAUCACUGAUUUGUGUGGAAUUUUGGAUCCUUUUUAUCUCUGGAUCUGAGUUGAAAUCGGUUGAUUUGGUUGGAGGCCUUUGUGGUGAUCUGAUUCUGUUCAUGGCUUGGUAGAUCUUGGCCUGAAUUUGAAUAUUGAAAAAUGAUUUUAUUUUUACUUGAAUUUUCGGAAGGAAAAAACUCGAGAUCUUUGUUUUUUUUUCUUUUUUUUUUUUUCUCUUUCGUUGAAUUUCUAAUGUUGCUUCAUUCAACUAUGUGAAAACCAUGUGGUGUUGGUGUGUUCGUGAAAAGGUUAUGCUUUUGUGAAGAUGUAUAAAUUAUUUGUCUUCUGUGAUAUCAACAGUGAAGAUUUUAAAUUACUGGAUAGUGAAAAGCAUGUGGUUUUGGUGUGUUCGUGGAAAAAGUAUAAAUUAUUUGCCUUCUGUGAUAUCCACAAUAAAGAUUUUAAAUUACUGGAUUGUUCUUUGUGGUUAAGCUUCUUUUUUUUUUUUUUUUCUCAUUAUCAUUUAUUAUUUAUUGUUACCAUUUUUAUUGUUUUUUAGUUCAAAUGAUGCCUGUUUGUAUAGGCAAAUCUUAAGGGGCAUUGUGAAUUUUCAUGUAUAUGAAUUUGUGUAGAAGCAAUCGACUUUGGAAUUUUGGAUGCAUUUGUUGCUCCUUAUACCCAAAAAUUAACAAUUUUGUGUCUGGAUGUUAAAGCAUUUGGCAUUGAGUGCUUGAAUAAUGGUUAGGUUUACCAACUCCCCUGAGUUUUUAGCCAUGUUGGGAGAUGUGAGCUCUUUGCUAACAUUGAUUGCAUGAUGAACAAGUUUCACAAGGCAACUGGGUUUUAGGGUUAAAGAGGGAAUGGAAGAGAAGAGGCAAUUGGUUAUUUUUCUGUGUUUAUGUGCAGAAACUGGAAAGGAAAUUUGAUGGGGAAAAUACCUGAUUUUUUUGCGAGCACUUGUUCCAUCUAUUUUGAUAUAGUAUCCCAAUUUCUUUAUUUGGUUUUUGGUUUAAAUGCCUUCACUUUUGAGGUGAAAAAUUGGUGUGGCCAUGUGGGGGAAGUUUUUCUUGUCUUUUCCCUUCAUUUCUUUCUUUAGGAAAGAAAGGUAUAAUUUGAAAUUUCCCUUUUCCUCUCUCCUCUGCCCACUUAACCCUGUGCAAGGACAGUAAUGUAUCUUGUUUUCUUGUUACAAGAACGUGAACGAUUCCAUAUUUUUUUGUCAUUAUCUCACAUAAGUUAUUCCCCUCUUUCUUUCCCUUGCUUCUUUUUCCACGGUUUUAAGAAAAUUCUUCUUAAUUUGUUUGAUUGCUCUAAAAUCUAUCUACACUUUAAUGGGCUACCCUUCCUUUUACCACCACUCCUUGGAACAUUUUCAAUUUUUUUUUUUUAAAAACAUUUAAUCUCAUUGGAACAGUAUCAGGUGAAACACACUUCCUUCACAUCCUGUCCUCAAUGACUGAAGUGAUUAUUAUGCUUAGAGAAUUAUUUAUAUAUUUAUUUUGAUAGACAACAAGAGCAUGUAUUAGAAAAGCACCAAAGAGAGGGGGCUUGCCCUAUGUAUACAGGAAGUAUACCCAAAACAUUAUGUUUAGAGGAUUAUGCAACGUUCUUGAUAAAAUUUUUAACAAAUCUUUCUCUGACUGGUUCAGAUUGACAACAUACCUUCUUUUUCUGUCCAAACAUAAAUGGGAUCUUUUCUUGCAUCACUUGUUGUCAGGGGUUGGAAGCUGUAACGGCCUCUAUAAAAUGGAAUUUUUUCUUGUGUUGCUUGUUUUCAGGUGCGGGGGCUCAACAAAUUUGUUGCAGGGCUAUGGAUGUGAAGCAGCUGCACAUCAUGUCGGUGGCCCGGGAGUUUUCAACCCUAACAAUUAUUGUCACAUGCCCAGGUUUCUUGAUCAUUACAUGAUUGGCACAUGCUCCUCUCUAUUGGCCGCUCAUUCUUAGCCAUUAUCCUGAUUUAUCAAAGAAACUCUUGGCAUGACUCUUCUCAGGUUUGGGCUGCUGCUAUGUUUGGAUUUAGUCAUGUUCUUCUUUUACUCCCCUCCCAAUAUUCUAAUAGAGAUGCAUGCUGAUAAAUGCCAGGAGAAGUUUAUAUCCAAUAUCUGUUUUGAGUUGUAGCAACUAUAGUUGUUAGUUGAUGCGUGGAUACCGACUUGCUCUUGGUUUUGGGUUUUAGGUUAUCUUGAAGGAUUAUCUGUUGCAUGUUCUGAUAAUCCUUCUGACCUAUCCCAGUUCUAUGUUUGCAUAUUAUUCAAUUAUUUUUCUUUUAAUGUAAUUAAUCAGGAGAAGGAAUGUCUUAAUAUUAAUGGCUUAGAUACUAAGUAGUAAAAUUGUUAUGAUGGUAGGUUAAUUUGAUUAUAAGAAUAAGACUAUAAUCUUUCUCUGCUGGGAAAGGAAUGAAAAGAAUUGAAUGGAUCCACCUUCCAUCUUGGUUGUGGAAUUAAAUGUUUUUCAAUUAUUAGAUUCAUCAACAUCAAAAUUAUGAAUUCUUUGUGCUCCACUGUUCUAGUAGGAAUGUUGUUUUCUUUUCCUUUUGGUUUUUUGGGGAAAUUAUUGAUGUAUUUUCUUUAGCUAUUUUUCUUCUGUUGCUAGUUGUGCACAAAGAGAUGUUAUAAAAUAUGCCAAUAAGGAUAGUUUUCUUGUUUCCAACCCUAGCUUAGCCAUCCUUUUAAAGGGAGUUGAGUGUAAGUGGGCAAGAUUGUUCCUGGACCUGCCAACCUGAGGUUAGUGGGGUUGGGUUGGCUGUUUUGCUAAAUGGGCUACUCCAAAAUAACCCAAAUCUUUGUUGUAGCCAAAUAAAGUAGCAUCUAUAUUGUUGUACUUAGAUACUAGAAGUGAUUGUAAUAGACAUUGUUAAUUAUGUUAGAAUGUUUUUAUUUUUUUAUUUUCCCCUUGUUUUGUGAUCCUAUAAAUGCCAGAUUUGGGCUGCAUGUUUUGCAGUUCAACAGGAAAUCAGGUGGAUCUAGAUGCCGGCUACAUCUGCCUGAACUUGGCUCCAUUCAGGUCUUUUCGUGUUUUAGUAUGAAUGAUUUCUUGUUCUUGUGGGAUUUUGACAUCAGAGAGCUCACCUAAAAUCGAUAUGCAGAAAUCAUGGAUGGAAAUGUCUUGAUUCUAUAAAUCAGUACUUUGGGCAAUAUGAUAUAUAUUCAUAAAACUAAUGGCUUUGCCUUUCAUAGCUCCUGACAAUUGGUGAUGUAGGUCCUUUGUGUAGUUGCUUUAAGAUGUUUCUUUUACUUUGUUCUUAUCCAAGUAUGGAAAGAGAUGAGGUUGAGGUGGUGUCAGAAUUGGGGUUUGAAAAUCCUUAUGUUGUUCCAUUGUAGCAAAGGCGUACCAACAAAGCAGAUGAUUUGUCUCUUCAAUCAUUUAUGGGGUGUUCAUGUUCAUAGAAUCAUUAUGUAAAUUACUUAACAAUUCUAAGUUGAUUAUCGGCACUGGGCAAUGGUGGUCCUUUUGGAACCUGCAGAUGUGGAUCCAGGUCCACAGUAUGCAAGUGAACUAUGUUCUUGGAAGGGAGCGACAAGUUGGGAUCUAGAAUGAAAGGAAGCUGUGCUCCCUGGUCUUUCUGCUUUGGAAAAUUUUUGACUUGAUCAUGGAGUAGGAGUUGUGUUUUAUCCGUCCAAACCUAUGGUCUACAAUUAGACCAAGUGAGCCUCUCUGGACUCGGCACUUCUAGAUCAAAAUCCAUGGGCACCUGAAGUAGCCAUAUGGAGAAAAACUAGUCAUAUAUGCCACUUUUGGAAUCUAUGUUCAUAAAACCUUCGUCCAGUGGAGUGCUAUGUGGAAGGGCAGCUGCUUGGGGACUUGUUGUGAAGCAAUCUUAAAUAUGGUAAGUGCCUUUCUUUUGGUAUGCUUUCCAACUCUCCUUUAUUUUCUUUUCCUCUUCUUUUUCAGAAAGCUAGCUAUGAAAUGAGCCUCAUUCCUAUCA